UGGAGGACCAACACUAGGACCCACCUAAUUAAGGUCCCACCAGAGAAAGAAAGAGAGCCGACUCAUUCCCUAUUAAUAAACGUUUAUUAAAAUAUGAGAGCAUCUUUUUACCAUUUGUAGGUAAAGUAGACUGAUAAAAGGUCAUGGACUCCAUUUUCCUCGUUUCAUCAAAUUGAAAUUAGCAUCCAAAAUCAUGAAACCAAAGUCUCGGUUGUCAUUGUGGAUUCCAUUGUUGCAGAUGACGUCCAAAUAGAUUUAUUAAUUUUGUUGGGCUGCUACUGGUGAACAGGAUCUGUUUUACAUUUAAUGCCCGUA
rnacentral:lncRNA from 1 species